rnacentral:rRNA from 1 species
CUGGCCGUAAACGAUGAAUGCUAGGUGUGUGUGUAGAGAUACAUGCGUGCCGGAGUUAACGCGAUAAGCAUUCCGCCUGGGGAGUACGGUCGCAAGAUUGAAACUCAAAGGAAUUGACGG